AUUGAACGCUGGCGGCAGGCCUAACACAUGCAAGUCGAACGAGUGGCGGACGGGUGAGUAAUGUCUGGGAAACUGACUGAUGGAGGGGGAUAACUACUGGAAACGGUAGCUAAUACCGCAUACCAUCAGAUGUGCCCAGAUGGGAUUAGCUUGUUGGUGGGGUAACGGCUCACCAAGGGGACGAUCCCUAGAUGGUAUGAGAGGAUGACCAGCCACACUGGAACUGAGACACGGUCCAUACUCCUACGCGUGGAAGUAGUGGGAAAUAGUGCACAAUGGGUGCAAGCCUGAUGCAGCCAUGCCGCGUGUAUGAAGAAGGCCUUCUGGUUGUAAAGUACGUUCAGCGGGGAGGCGUUACCCGCAGAAGAAGCACCGGCUAACUCCGUGCCAGCAGCCGCGGUAAUAC
rnacentral:rRNA from 1 species